rnacentral:ncRNA from 85 species
GUAGGUGACCUGCGGAAGGAUCAUUA